rnacentral:rRNA from 1 species
AGAUGGGCAUGCGUGACAUUAGUUAGUUGGUGAGGUAACGGCUCACCAAGACCACGAUGUCUAGGGGUUCUGAGAGGAUUAUCCCCCACACUGGUACUGAGACACGGACCAGACUCCUACGGGAGGCAGCAGUGAGGAAUAUUGGUCAAUGGUCGCAAGACUGAACCAGCCAUGCCGCGUGCAGGAUGAAUGUUCUAUGAAUUGUAAACUGCUUUUCUAAGGGAAGAAACCUAUCCUCGUGAGGGUAGUUGCCGGUACCUUGGGAAUAAGCAUCGGCUAACUCCGUGCCAGCAGCCGCGGUAAUACGGAGGAUGCAAGCGUUAUCCGGAUUCAUUGGGUUUAAAGGGUGCGUAGGCGGAUUAAUAAGUCAGUGGUGAAAUCUUGCGGCUCAACCGUAACAUUGCCAUUGAUACUGUUAGUCUUGAAUGCAGUUGAGGUAGGCGGAAUGUGUAAUGUAGCGGUGAAAUGCUUAGAUAUUACACAGAACACCGAUUGCGAAGGCAGCUUGCUAAACUGUGAUUGACGCUGAUGCACGAAAGCGUGGGGAUCAAACAGGAUUAGAUACCCUGGUAGUCCACGCUGUAAACGAUGAUUACUCGUUGUUUGCGAUAUAUUGCAAGCGACUGAGCGAAAGCAUUAA